UUUUUUUUUUUUACUUUUUCUUGAACCCCGAAAUUUUCUCUUUUUUCGUUUUCUUGAACCCCGAAAUUUUCUUUCGCGCUAAUGAUCCCGGAUCACUGCAUUUGAACCCCGACAUCUUGUUUGCCAAAAUAAUGAACCCCGUUCUCUCCAUUUUGAACCCCAGUCGCCUGACGAUAACUUGCGAUCGCCAUUGUGAACCCCAUUCUCCAGAAAAUGCCUCAACAUUUCCCUUUCUCCAUUUGAACCCCGCUCUCCAGAAAAUGCCUCAAC
rnacentral:lncRNA from 1 species